rnacentral:rRNA from 1 species
AUGGAUGCAUGUCAUUUGUUACUGGAGAGACCAUGGCAAUAUGACCGUUGUGCCACACACGAAGGCCGGUCCAACACUUACUCCUUUUGGGAUGCUGGAAGACGACGUGUGUUGCGGACUAUGUUUGCGGGAGAAAUCAAAAUAGAUACAAAUGUUUCACUGGAAAAGAAGGUCAUGAAGUUCAGCGCAAAACCGAGGACGGUUUUGUUUCAAGGAGGAGGGGAUGAUGCGUCCACUACUACAUUAGCAAAAGUUGAUCAAGCUAAAUAUUCUAAUAUGAAAAUGAUGGGCGCCAUAGCACAUGAGAUUCCACCGGCACAUGAGAUUCCACCGGAAGAUGAUGUGAAACCCAACUUCAGAACGCCUCCACAGCAAAUUCUUAUUGGAUCGGUCCUCAUCAAUUAUUAUCCAGAGUCCUUGGAAAUAAAUCCCAGUGCACGACCCAGGAACCUAUCCGAAAAGCAUCAGGUUACCAAGAUGUAG